rnacentral:tRNA from 1 species
AGCGCCGUGUUACGGGUAGAAUUUUGACUGUUAAUCAAUUGGUCGUAGGUUCGAUCCCUACCGCCGGAGCCA